GAUGAACGCUGACAGAAUGCUUAACACAUGCAAGUCCACUUGAACUUCGGUUUGGGUGGCGGACGGGUGAGUAACGCGUAAAGAACUUGCCUCACAGAUAGGGACAACAUUUGGAAACGAAUGCUAAUACCUGAUAUUAUGAUUUUAGGGCAUCCUAGGAUUAUGAAAGCUAUAUGCGCUGUGAGAGAGCUUUGCGUCCCAUUAGCUAGUUGGAGAGGUAACGGCUCACCAAGGCGAUGAUGGGUAGCCGGCCUGAGAGGGUGAUCGGCCACAAGGGGACUGAGACACGGCCCUUACUCCUACGGGAGGCAACAGUGGGGAAUAUUGGACAAUGGACCAAGAGUCUGAUCCAGCAAUUCUGUGUGCACGAUGAAGUUUUUCGGAAUGUAAAGUGCUUUCAGUUGGGAAGAAAAAAAUGACGGUACCAACAGAAGAAGUGACGGCUAAAUACGUG
rnacentral:rRNA from 1 species